rnacentral:ncRNA from 1 species
AACCUCAUGGUCCAUUAGUCUACUAUGGUUAUUCCGGCUAACGGAGAAUAAGGGUUCGACUUCGGAGAGAGACCCUUAGAAACGCUACCACAUCGAAAAAAUACAGCAGUCGCGAAACUUAUCCAAUCUUCGGGAGGUGAGAUAGUGACUAGAAAUAAGAGUGGAAUUACGUCUGCUGCCAAUAGCCUUGGUAAUUCCAAUUCCACUGAUGUAAAUCGUUACUGCUGCGGUGAAAAAGCUCGUAGUUGGAUAAGAGUUACAUGUAAUGGUUCGCCUUUGACUUUAAUCGUGUUUGUAUGCUGAUUUUUAUCAGAGUUUCAACUUUUUUAGUGACUAGUGAGUUUACCUUGAAUAAAUUAGAACGGUAAAAACAAGGGCUUGCUUGAAUCGCUGAUCAUAAAAUAAUAGAAGAUGACUUCGGUUCUAUUAAUCAAUUGAAAAACUGGAAUAAUGGUUGAAAGGGAAGAUUCGGGGCAUUCGUAUCCCUGCGCGAGUGAUGAAAUUCGUGAACGUAAGCUGUGCCAUUUAGCAAUUCGAUGUGGUACUAAUAAUAGGACGUUGUCAAGCAGCUUCUAAGACACGAAAGACUUUCGGUUCUUGGGUAGUAGGAUUGCAAAACUGAAACUUAGGGAAAUUGACGGAAUGGCAAUACCAGGAGUGGAGCCUGCAGCUUAAUUUGACUCAACACGGCCAAACUCAUCUGGCCCCGACGGCAAAGGAUUGAGAGAUUAACGUUGGGGAACUAAACCCGCACUUGGACACUGAAAUUGGGCAACUCAACAGACUUCAUGUUUUAAUACUAUAGUGUUCCUCGUACUGGACGGUUUUAGUUAUCAAUCCUAUGCAUAAGCUUAGGAUUGUCCACCUUCCGUCCUAAACAUUGCGCUAGUAAAAGUGAUCAACUUCGACCGUUAAAAUGGAUCAACUAGACCGUCUUAAUGGCGUUUACACUAUAGUGUUCCUCUUACUAGCCGAUUUUUUUCCGCAUUUCCCUUGAAAUUGGGCAACUAAACUUUACCUACACCUUUGAAAUUGGGCAAACAAACGACUUCGGCCCUUAUUUAAUACUGUUAAUCUGAAACCGAUGAAAGAGUUCCUCAG